UAUAUAUAUUUCCAUUGGGCUCGAGACAGCGCCUGCUAUGUGAGGAGCCUGGCAUCUUAACUUGUUCAUUUUCACUGAAAGAUAUCAAGGAUAUUAAACUUGAACAUAAGGUGCAAGUUCAGGGGCCAUAUGGAAUAGGCAGAUGGGUAGUCUUAAAUCAUGAUGAAAAUGAACCGUACACCGUAAGGGUGGGUUCUUGUUGCAGAACUCUAUCUGUAGUUUGCCUUGAUGAACACAAGAAACGCAUCAGAUUUAAAGGUUUUCCAGACUUGCUCAUCAAGCUCACCUCAAAUGGUAGAAAUCUUGCUCAAGAUUG